AAGUGGUUCCUCCACCAGGGAGACAGGUUUAAUUGCUGUGGGUCAGAGCUGGCCUCCCCGGUGCAGGGAGGAGGAGAUCCCAUGAGUGCGUGGCAGAAAACGCCAGCCACUCAUGACGCCUUGAGCCAGGGUCAUACUAUAUUGACCUGGCUGGUCUGGAACUCCUGGCCUCAAGCGAUUAUCCUGCCUCAGCCUCCCAAACUGUUGGGAUUACAGCGUGAAGCUCUAGUUCCAUAACUUCUGGGAAGCAAUGGCCAGUCUCAGACUUAAGGAUUAAGAGAAUUUUCCUAAUGAUUCCAGAAUCGGAUACUAAAAAACACGGACACUGCCAGAGAAGGCGCAGUGGCUCCCGUCUGCAGUCCAAGCACUUUGGACGGAUCACGAGGUCAGGAGUUCAAUACCAGCCUGGCCAAUAUGGUGAAACCCCAUCUCUACUAAAAAUACAAAAAUUAGCCGGGCAUGGUGGCGCAUGCCUGUAAUCCCAGCUACUCGGGAGGCUGAGGCAGAAGAAUUGCUUGAACCCAGGAAGCAGAAGUUGCAGUGAGGCGACAUUGUGCCACUGCACUCCACCCGGGGUGACAGAGCAUGAGUCCGUCUCAAAAACAAACAAACAAACAAACGAGGACACUGUCUGAGCACUCUUAUUCUGCAUUUGAAGAAAUACAGAAACAAUGGCAAAAAAUCAUUUGCUCAGAAUUACAGUAAAGAAUCUGCAAGUGUUGGCAAGCAUAACUUUGAUUAUUAUUUGAUUACAUGAAUUAUGAAAUGCAUGUCAGUUGAAGUUUUAGAGAGACAAAUAAAUACACAGUAUAAUUGGGGGUUCUUAUUAUUAAGGUCCCUUGUCUUUAGUAUCUGAUAGUUUCGCAUCUCCUUCCUCAUGAGUCCAUGGCAGAAAGUGUCGCUCUGUCUUUUCCUGGCUCCAGCUUUUCUUCUGUUACUACCUGUUGAGGUGAGAGCAAAGGAGAUAGAGACAGCAAAGGAGGCAAGAAGUGGUCUACUCUCUUUUCCAUCUUUCACCCAAGGAUAAGUACUAACCACAGCAGAGCUUAUAUCUGGCUAUAUAUUAAGGAUAUUUUCCUAAAGACCUGAAGAAAACAAAACAGCAUAACAUUAGAGCCCAGAUAAAUUUUGAACAAGAUAAAGAUUUGAUCUUGGAGCCCUUGGGGUUCAGCUAUAACCUAUCUCUUCUGAGAUGAUUUAGUUACCCUCCCUCCAGGUGGAGGCAGCUUCAUGACCAUUCCUCCUGGAUAUAUGUGCAUUUGGGGUUAGACCCUUAUUCCAUCACAAAGCACCAGAUAGGAGUAGAGUCCUGGCUCAUCCACUCUAAUGCUGAAUUCCCCAGUGUCCUCUUUUCCAUUCUACCUCUCACAUGCUCUGACAUUGGCACCCUGUCAGCCUGUCCCUUAACACCAUAAACUACUAUUGGUACAUUUCCCAAAGUUUAAGCUUACUUAGAAUAUGUAUGAUUGUUUUCUAACCUGGUUCAAUUCCUUGUCAUGAAUUUGUAUUCAUUAUUAGGUCAAGAUAAAUACACAUUCUUCCUGUAGUUUUCCAGGUCUUGUUUUCUGAACUCGGGAGCAAUUGUUUAAAAAUUAAUACAGUGACAGUGAUAAUCUGUGUAAUGUGAUAUUCAAAAGCAAAAUUUGCAUUUUCAAAAUGACAGAUUUUGUAGCCUUCACCAUUGUUGUAAUGUUUUAACAAUUUGAAGCCAAUUUCAAUGAGUACCCUAAUUUCUCCAAAUAUUUAGCAAGAAGAGUUUUCAUAAGCAAAGAGUCUAGGCCACGGAAAAUUAACUUUCUUCUUUCUCACACUUGUGAGAACAGUGAGGCUCAGAGAGUCUGAAUUAUUUGCCAAAGGUCCUAAGAGUGGUGGAGCUGGGAUUCAAAACUAGGUCACUCUUACUCUACAACCAUACUGCCUUCUAAAAUUUGUCACUGAAUGUAACUUCCCUCAGCACAUAAAACUGUGUGCAGCAAAAGUUCUACAAGCUCCGAGGUCAAGGGGAACAAUAGGUUUUCUGUGUCUCCAGAUAAGUUGACUCAACCCGAUCAUAUUCAAUUCAAUUUUCAUUUAUUGAUCGUCCAUCGGUUUCAGGUACUAAGUGCUAGACAUAAAAAUGACCAGAGAAAAAAGAGAAUUUUGGAAUGAGAGCAGAAUGGAUUAUUUUCUUCUUUCUUUCUUCUGGUUCAAACAGUAUAUCUCCUGCACAUGACAGUUUUCCUGUAACCUGGUGUAGCACUUUGAAAAUCCAGUAAAGCAGAAGUGACAGCGCUGUAACUCAUGAACUCCACUGAGAUUGCUAUGGUGUGACAAACCUGUCUCAGCUGUCUGUAUAUAAAUUAGGAAUUCCUAAAGCUUUCAAUACGAAAGUUGCUGUGAACUGCUUCGUUUCCAACUGAAAGCAUUGAAAUGCUAAUUAGGAAGCAUUUUUUAUUUUUCCUUCAAAGUAACUUUAAAUAACUUUUCGGGAAAGUAAACACAAUUAGUCUAUUUUUAUGGGACAGAUUUCUCCCUAUGAGAGGAGAAUGGCCAUUUUUGUGAACUACUGUUGGAUAUGACAUAUAUAUUUUGGAAGUCCCUUUCAAUCGUUGGAUUUGGCAGAUAAAAUGUUUAUACCGAUUGUAUUUUAUUGAAAGCCAUUUUAUGCAAAUUAAUUUAACACAGAAUUUAAUGAUUUUGGAUGCUGUGAGAUGAGGGGAAAUAACCUUUAAAAUUAACACUGCAAUUUUCAUCUUCUGAUUGUCUCAGCCUCCCCCAGAAUAGAAAAUGCUUAUUCUCUUGGAGAGAGAAAUAAAUUUAAUCUUUACACGGG
rnacentral:lncRNA from 1 species